ACUUUAUGUCUUGCUGCUGCCAGCGCUAUGCCCGACCCAGUUUCAUCUUUACAGCGGGCAGAAAGCCAAGAGCUUAAGUGUUCUGUACCCAGCGCCCUCCAGGCGUGAUCCUCCUGCAAGGGGAGGUAUGUUCUUCCCUAAGAAUGCUUUCGGAAAAAGCGGGCUGAGUUCGCGGCGCUACUUUCAGACUAUGGAGGGGCCCAUGGGUCAAACGGAACCAACUCUGGCGGGCGCUCGGUGCGCCCGCAGCGGCAGUUCAGGCAAACCAGAGUCUCUGGUGGGAAGGUCUGGAAGGUUGCAGGCUGCGUCUCCCUGAGCGCCGCGCUGGGCUCCGCUUCGGGAGACCGGACGUCAGGCAGGCGGCAAGUCUAGAUGGCAGUGAUAGCGGAGACCUUAGCUGACCCGGCAGCUGUCGCUCUUUGUUAACCUCAAAGCAUCGCGCCCCCUUCAGGGAACACUUGCUCAGCUGUACCUCACCCCGCCAGUCCCGGUAUUUCGUUCUUUCCCGUGACCUUUAGGGAAAAGUGGCGGGUAAGUUCAGUUCCCGUCCGGCUGCUCCUUUUCUCAACUACAAGAUGGCCUCCCGAAAGGAUCUAGGCAAUGCAAUUCUUCGAGUAGAAUACUUGGAUUCCACGGUGUUUUAAUAUGAACCGGGUUCAAGUAUUAAAAGUAUCGAUUUCCAGGCUAAGAGCUACAAGUUACAAGGAAAACAACAAUGCUCCAAAGAUACAGUAUUUAUUUCUCAACUAAAUCUUGGAAAGUGCCCUUCUAGAGAGUAACAUGAAACUUUUGCGUGACUGAAGAAAGAAUACACCAAGUAUCUAAAUUGUUUACUUGGGGAUUGUGCAAAGCAAGUAGCAAGUUAUAGUAGAAAUACAACAGUAAGAGUAUAGCUAGAUGGAUAAAGAAGAUAAAUACAAAUAGAUGUGAGAAGAUAGAUGCCGUUUGCAUGAAAUUAAAUCUUCCUUGAAAAAACACUUAAAACACAUACUUCUGCAUCAGCAUUAGAGGAAAGUCCUCAAUAGCUGAAGUUCGGCGGGGCGUCAAAUCCAAGUGGCCCUCGAAAUAAAACUUCCUCUUGGGAGAAAUGUUCACCAACUGCACCCGGCAACACCAUGACGUGAUUGCAUGAAGCACCUACUGGAGGCAGAGGAAAGUUCCGUUCCUUUGACCCUUUCCCUCAUUUCUAUUCAGCACCAAAAAAGACUGCACAACAGUGUAAUAUGAUUUUUUAGAUCACUUUAUGGAACAAAAAUUAGAAGGACAUAUAUACCACAUGUUAUCAGUGGUUAUCUCGGAUUUUGCUUCGUGAUUUUCUUCGUUUUCCAAGUUUUUUGCAUAGGGCCUGAUUUUCAAGUUUAUUUCUCUGAACAACAGUCUGAUCAGAGAAACAUUCUGUUUUCUCUGUUAAACCUGAUUACCUCAGUGAAACUUGCAUACGUUCCUACUUCCUAUAAUCAUCUUGUAAUCGUUUGCUUUUUUCCCCCCCAUAAAGUUGAAGCAAUUUUUUGGUAGGGUUUUUUUUCCUGGUCUCUGCUCUCCGACUGGCCAGCAAACUGCGUAGCACACAGAAAUUUUUGCGUUCAUCAAACAAUUGAGUUAAUAUUUUGAACAAUAAUGACCCCAGUAGAGGCCAGUCAUUUUGGAACCCUGUUGCCAAAUGGAGAGAAUUAUUAAAUGCCUCACGUUUUGUUCCUUGUGCCAGUUUAACGAGACAAUCUCAGCAAUCACUGUUUGCCAGGCCAGGAAACGAGUUAUACAGUCCCAUUUCCCUUUCCAUCACCACUGUCGUCUAGGAUUUCCCUGAACAUUAUGACAUGAAGGAGACAACAGGCAUGUAUACUAUUUCAACAACAAACUUUCAUAGAACGUGUCAUUGUGGCUGAGUGUCUUUUUGAGCAGCUGUCCUGCACAUGAUCUGCUACAGUCUGGUCAUCCUGCUCCUUGAUCCGAAAGUGCUGUAGCAGCCAGCAUCUUGCCAGUCUUGGCAGUCUGCUGCUUAUAACUAACAAUCAGGGGACUCUGUAAGUUAAAUUUUUUAUUAAAUUCCCCUGUUUGCAGAGUGUUUGAAGCAGAAAAUUCAUGGAGAGGAUCUGUUCAAGUUAGUACUUUGUAUUAUUAUGGAAACAUUAUCCUCAAGGUAAAAUGGAAAAAAGUUAAAUGAAAUGUGGAAAAGAUACUGAAUUAGGAAGUAUGCUUCUCAAGAUGUGAAACUUUACAGUGUUAUUAAGUUCCAUAUCAUAUCGCCUUAAAAUUUAAGAAUAAAAAUUAUUUAAAACUGUGGUAUAUACAUACAGUAGAAUAUUACUCAGCCUUAAAAAUGAAAUUCCGAUACAUGCUACAACAUGAACCUUGAGAAGAUUAUGCUAAGUAAAAAAAGACAGACACAAAAGGACCGAUACUGUAUAAUUUCACUGAUAUGAGGUACCUAGGAUAGGCAAAUUUAUAAAGACAGAAAAUAGAAUGCAGUUGCUGGGGGUUGGAGGAAAAAGGGGGAUGGGGAAAUAUUUAAUGGGUACAGAGUUUCUGUUUGGGAUGAGGAAAGAGUUCUAGAAAUGAAUGGUGAUCUUUGUACAACAUUGUGAAUGUACUUAAUGCCACGGAAUUUGUACACCUAAAAAUGAUUAUAAUGGUAAAUUUUAUGUUAUAUAUUUUACCACAGUCAAAAUACAAUGGAGGCUAAAAAAUUAUUUAAAGCUAAUAUGCUACAAGUUAUUAUAAAUUACAACUCUUUUAAUUCUUAAGUAAUAUUGUUACUUAAGCAUCUCCUAGCGGGUAGCAAGAGUAUAUAAUGAAGUAUAAGAAGGAUAUAAAAUAACAAUUACUUCAGUUAUUGAACAGUGGACCAAACUAGUCUAUGCAGGUAAUGGCCAUUUAGGCCAGACUGGAGAAAGUAAGGUAAACCUAGUGUGUUCACUACCAGCAUAUUCUUACCUAAAGUCUUUCAUGAUUCAAACUACUGUUUCUGUACUUAAUUCAUGUGUGUGAUGUAGCAGACAUGAUUCCUGUUCACCAAUAUCUGAUUCUCUACCAACUUAGAGCACACAGAAGAUGGUAUUUGUAAGCCCCCUUAAAGUUAGGGAAGACUUUGUGAAUUAGUUCUAGCCAAUGGGCUGUGGGUUAAGUGAUGACUGUCAUUUCUGGACCUAAACUUACAAGACCUGAUGCACUGUCCCAUCGACCAAGAAGGCCAUAUGUUUCAAUAAUGCAGCUACAGACUGGUAAAUUCUCUGUCAGCCUGGAUCACUGAGUUGUUUCAUGGGAAAGAGUGGCCAGAAAGAGCCCCAAAUCAGCAAAAGACAUUGCAAUGAUCACAAGUGAGGAGGCCUGGUGUUGAAAUGAUAGAGCCACAAGACAAUCAGCCUGGAUUACAAAGUCACCAGUUGGAAAACAGUUGCCUCUGCAGACUACCCGGACUCACAGUGGACUCUGGGUGAGCAAGAAAUAAACUGUUAAGUCAU